rnacentral:rRNA from 1 species
GGCUGUCGUCAGCUCGUGCCGUGAGGUGUUGGGUUAAGUCCCGCAACGAGCGCAACCCCUGCUUUCAGUUGCUACCGGGUCAUGCCGAGCACUCUGAAAGGACUGCCCAGGAUAACGGGGAGGAAGGUGGGGAUGACGUCAAGUCAGCAUGGCCUUUAUGCCUGGGGCCACACACGUGCUACAAUGGCCGGUACAAAGCGCUGCAAACCCGUGAGGGGGAGCCAAUCGCAAAAAACCGGCCUCAGUUCAGAUUGAGGUCUGCAACUCGACCUCAUGAAGGCGGAAUCGCUAGUAAUCGCGGAUCAGCACGCCGCGGUGAAUACGUUCCCGGGCCUUGUACACACCGCCCGU